UAUAAGUCUUAUAUGUACAUAUAUAUAAGUUUUCCAAUAUUGACAGCAUCUUGGGAAUAACGUUUAA
rnacentral:tRNA from 1 species